AUUGAACGCUGGCGGCAGGCCUAACCCAUGCAAGUCGAGCGAGCGGCGGACGGGUGAGUAAUGUAUGGGGAUCUGCCCGAUAGAGGGGGAUAACUACUGGACACGGUGGCUCAUACCGCAUACUAUCGGAUGCACCCAUAUGGGUUUAGCUAGUAGGUGGGGCAAAGGGUCACCUCGGCGACGGUCUCUAGCUGGUCUUAGAGGAGUAUCAGCCAGACGGGGACUGGAACACGGCCCAGACUCCUACGGGGGGCAGCAGUGGGGAAUAUUGCACAAUGGGCUCAAGCCUGAUGCAGCCAUGCCGCGUGGAUGAAGAAGGGCUUAGGGUUGUAAAGUACUUUCAGCGGGGGGGCGUUACCCGCAGAAGAAGCACCGGCUAACUCCGUGCCAGCAGCCGCGGUAAUAC
rnacentral:rRNA from 1 species